AGAGUUUGAUCCUGGCUCAGAAUCAACGCUGGCGGCGUGCCUAACACAUGCAAGUCGAACGAGAAAGUGGAGCAAUCCAUGAGUACAGUGGCGACCGGGUGAGUAACACGUGACCAACCUGCCCUCGAGUGGGGAAUAACCCCGGGAAACCGGGGCUAAUACCGCAUAACAUCGCAAGAUCAAAGCAGCAAUGCGCUUGAGGAGGGGGUCGCGGCUGAUUAGCUAGUUGGUAGGGUAAUGGCCUACCAAGGCGAAGAUCGGUAUCCGGCCUGAGAGGGCGCACGGACACACUGGAACUGAAACACGGUCCAGACUCCUACGGGAGGCAGCAGUGGGGAAUUUUGCGCAAUGGGGGAAACCCUGACGCAGCAAGGCCGCGUGGAGGAUGAAGUCCCUUGGGACGUAAACUCCUUUCGACCCGGACGAUACUGACGGUACGGGUGGAAGAAGCACCGGCUAACUCUGUGCCAGCAGCCGCGGUAAUACAGAGGGUGCGAGCGUUGUUCGGAAUUAUUGGGCGUAAAGGGCGCGUAGGCGGCGCGGUAAGUCACCUGUGAAAUCUCCUGGCUCAACUGGGAGCUUGCAGGCGAAACUGCCGUGCUGGAGUGUGGGAGAGGUGCGUGGAAUUCCUGGUGUAGCGGUGAAAUGCGUAGAUAUCAGGAGGAACACCUGUGGCGAAAGCGGCGCACUGGACCACAACUGACGCUGAGGCGCGAAAGCUAGGGGAGCAAACAGGAUUAGAUACCCUAGUAGUCC
rnacentral:rRNA from 1 species